GACGAACGCUGGCGGCGUGCUUAACACAUGCAAGUCGAACGGUGAAGCGCCUUCCUUUUUGGUGGGUGUGGAUGAGUGGCGAACGGGUGAGUAACACGUGAGUAACCUGCCCCCUUCUUCUGGAUAACCGCAUGAAAGUGUGGCUAAUACGGGAUAUUCUGGGUCUGUCGCAUGAUGGGUCUGGGAAAGAUAUUGUUUCGGAGGGGGAUGGGCUCGCGGCCUAUCAGCUUGUUGGUGGGGUGAUGGCCUACCAAGGCGGUGACGGGUAGCCGGCCUGAGAGGGUGGACGGUUACACUGGGACUGAGACACGGCCCAGACUCCUACGGGAGGCAGCAGUGGGGAAUAUUGCACAAUGGGCGCAAGCCUGAUGCAGCGACGCCGCGUGAGGGAUGGAGGCCUUCGGGUUGUGAACCUCUUUCGCCAGUGAAGCAGGCCUGCCUCGUUUGUGGGUGGGUUGACGGUAGCUGGAUAAGAAGCGCCGGCUAACUACGUG
rnacentral:rRNA from 1 species